UCAGGUGGGGAGUUUGGCUGGGGCGGCACAUCUGUUAGAAGAGAACACAGGUGUCCUAAGGAGAGCUCCGUGAGAACAGAAAUCUCACUUAGCGCAAAAGGGUAAAAGCUCUCUUGAUUUUGAUUUUCAGUGUGAAUACAAACUGUGAAAGCAUGGCCUAUCGAUCCUUUAGUGUUUUAGAAUUUUAAGCUAGAGGUGUCAGAAAAGUUACCACAGGGAUA
rnacentral:rRNA from 1 species